AGCCGGAAAAUCUACAGAAAACAUGGCUGAGGGAGUUUUACCAGACAAUACAGACACACAAGCCUCACUUCUUUGCAUUGCACUGUCAGGAGGUGGGGGGGAAGAACUAUGAGGCGUCCAUGUCCCACGUGGAUAGUUUUGUCAAAGAGCUGUUGUCCAGUGAUGUGAUGAAGGAGUACAACAGAGCCCGCGUCUACCUCGAUGAGAACUACAAAUCCCAGGAGCAUU